rnacentral:SRP_RNA from 1 species
GCUGGGCGCGGUGGCUCAUGCCUGUAAUCCCAGCGCUUUGGGAGGCUGAGGUGGGUGGAUCACCUGAGGUCAGGAGUUCGAGACCAGCCUGACCAACAUGGUGAAACCCCAUCUCUA